UUCGUGCCCGGCCGGCCAAUGAGCGCCGCGGGGGGCCGCGUGAUCGGAGCCUGGCCGCGGCGUGAUCGGGCAGGGCGGGACGCGGCACGUGUUUUGGUCGGAGCGAGGGGCGGGGCCUGAGGCCCUGGAAGGACUCUCCCAAGGCCAGGGAGCCUGGCUGUUUAAUAAGUCCACGUAGGUGAACGAGCGAAUCGAAGGUAUCCACCAGCCUCCCUGCUUGAACAUCCCGUGAGCACCUCUAAUUGUGUCCUUAAAAAAACUGAACUCAGGGCCGGGCGCGGUGGCUCACGCCUGUAAUCCCAGCACUUUGGGAGGCCGAGGCGGGCGGAUCACCUGAGGUCAGGAGUUGAAGACCAGCCCGGCCAACAUGAUGAAACCCCGUCUCUUCUAAAAAUACAAAAAUUAGCCUGGCACGGUGGCAGGCGCCUGUAAUCCCAGCUACUCAGGAGACUAAGGCAGGAGAAUCGCUUGAACCCAGGAGGCAGAGAUUGCAGUGAGCCGAGAUCGCACCACUGCACUCCAGCCUGGGCGUCAGAGACUCAGUCUCAAAAAAACAAACAAAAAACUGAACUCGGAUUCCAGCCAAAUCUGGAUUUCUCACCUCCGUGAAGGGUACAACUGGAGACCCUGUUCCUUGAUCUAGAAACCUGAGCGUCACCUUUACCUCCUCCCUUUCGCACAGUUGCUGUCUUCCGCCAAUUACAUGCCCUUCUUCCUUCUCAGUUCCUCUCAAACUCUUAUGUCACCCACGCCAGCCCUUGUCCUGGCCACCACCUGCUCACCUGAAUUGUUGCCACUGCCUCCCAACAGGUCUCCCUCCCUCCAGCCAGACGCCCUACAAUCUGCCCUCACCUCACUGCCAGAAUGAUCUUCUGGAAGCAGAGGUGGAGCUGAACCUGUAUUCAAGCCGUCAGUUGGAAUCCAAACAGUUAUAGGACUGACUUCAGGCUCCAUGGCCAGGAACCCAUGAGUCUUUGUAGCCAGGCUCCAGCCAGCACUUCCUGCAUCAUUUCUGACCAGUUUCCCAAAUUGCUUUCCCUGCUGCCUUCCUGCCCCCACUGACCCAAUACAGAACCCUGUACUCUCAAGGUCACGCCACUCUCUUCUGUUUCUAGACAGCAUUCCUUCUGCGUGGAACAUGCCAACCCUCGUCUGCUUUGACUUUGCAAAACUGCAUGAGACCGCCGGGCGCGGUGGCUCACGCCUGUAAUCCCAGCACUUCAAGAGGCCGAGGCAGACAGAUCACCUGAGGUCAGGAGUUUGAGGCCAGCCUGGCCAGCAUGGUGAAACCCCGUCUCUACUAAAAAUACAAAAAAUCAGCCAGUAAUCCUAGCUACUCGGGAGGCUGAGGCAGGAGAAUCGCUUGAACCCAGGAAGCAGAGGUUGCAGUGAGCCGAGGUCAUGCCAUUGCACUCCAGCCUGGGCUACAAGAGUGAAACUCCGUCUCAAAAAAGAAAAAAAAAAAGAAAAAAAGACUGCAUAUGACUCCCCAGUGAAGCCCUCCCUGAUUGGCCUCUGCAGAAGGCAGCAUGCCCGGGCUUUGGAGUCAGACCUGCAUACAAAUCCUUGUUUUGCCGGUGUGACCUUGCCAAGUCUUCUUUCCUGCAGGACAGAAGGCGGCAGCAGCUCUCCCUGAACUGGCACUCUGGCUUCUCUUGCCCCAGGGUCUGUUUCUGCUCCUUGGACAGCAGGCGCAUGUGGGAACUGUGCCCUCUUCAGCCAUGAGCCCCUGUUCUGCGCACAUCUAGCCCAUCUUCCAGAUGGACAGACAGUCUGUGGUCGUCGCCAAACCCCUGAAUCUGGCCCUGCCCGCAGUCAGAGGGAUGGCAAUUUGUAAGCUACAGACUAUUGCGAAUCAUUCACUUGGAGACUGAACUAAGACUACUGGCACCAGGCUCCGUAGACCCUCGGGAAGAGCAUGGUCUGGCAGGCAGACUGGAUGUGGCCACAGAUAACAUCCCCUAAGGGGAGAGCGUGAGCCUGCAGGCCAGAAUGCCACCACUUUCUCCUGUGUCGUUCCAGAGAGAGCCUGUGGCUAUGCACGCUUGCUGCUACAGAGGGUAGUGCUGUAUACCUCCUGGGCUCACUUACUGACUUUUCAGUCUAAGGGCUUAUUGCAAUUGGUACAUAACGAUCAUACUUUGUAAUGGUUAAGUAAUAUUCCAUCAUAUGGAUGUGUUGUUUAUUUAACAUUCUGGUUGAAUAACCAAGACUUUUAGGUUUCCAGUUUUCCAGGAACAUCAUGCCCCUCCAUCAUUUGCCCACCUGGAAGGAUAACUACAGGAUAAGCAGCUCUUAGAACUGGAAUUGCUGAGUUAACUGCUCUGUGCAUUUCCUUGCUUUUUCUUGCUUUUCUUUUCUUUCUUUUAUUAUUUUUUUGGGUAAAUUUUUAUUGAACUAUAGCAUAGCGUAGAUACAGGAAAGUGUAAAAACUUAAAUGUACAAUUCAAUGAAUUUUCGCUAGGCAAACACUGUGUCACCAGCACCCAGAUUUAGAAACAGAAUAUUACCAGAAUCCCAAAAGCCCCAUGAGCUGCCGUCCAGUCACUACUUACCGUUUCCCUGAUCCCCUGCAUAGGAUAAUCCUUAUCAUGGCUUCUGACACUUUCGGUUGGUUUUGGAUGUACUGACACUUUUUGUGUGUGUGUGACACUUUUAUAAUACAAAGAAAAUCAUACAGUAUGUUC
rnacentral:lncRNA from 10 species